GUCAAGGGGUGCUCACGGGUGUGGGCUGAGAUAAUACCCUCGAACCUGAUACGGAUAAUGCCGGCGUAGGGAUGAUA
rnacentral:ncRNA from 1 species